UGGAAAUUGGGUACUCUUCCACCUGGCUUGAUCACCUUUUACUCAACAACAAAAUCAUUGGACAAGGCUUGGCAUGUGCUUGGCCUUGGGUACAAUCCAAGUAUUAGCAUGGAUGAGAUCAACAAGGCUGCNNNNCAAUGGAAACAUGAAACCUUGGCUUGACAUCGCCAUGAAUCAAUACAAGAGUCUUUGGACUAAAUAUGUG
rnacentral:misc_RNA from 1 species